ensembl:snoRNA SNORA70 Small nucleolar RNA SNORA70
CUGCCGCCAGGUAGGCCGACUGUGCUCCUUUCUCCGGGGCCUGGCGUGCAGUGACCGCAGACAGCGCCCUUCCUGGUAGUGUGUGCGCCCUGCUGCCUGGAUGGUUGCCUUAAGGGACCUUGGAGACAGGC